rnacentral:rRNA from 1 species
AUUGAACGCUGGCGGCAGGCUUAACACAUGCAAGUCGAGCGGGGUGAUGGUGCUUGCACUAUCACUUAGCGGCGGACGGGUGAGUAAUGCUUAGGAAUCUGCCUAUUAGUGGGGGACAACAUCUCGAAAGGGAUGCUAAUACCGCAUACGUCCUACGGGAGAAAGCAGGGGAUCACUUGUGACCUUGCACUAAUAGAUGAGCCUAAGUCGGAUUAGCUAGUUGGUGGGGUAAAGGCCUACCAAGGCGACGAUCUGUAGCGGGUCUGCGAGGAUGAUCCGCCACACUGGGACGGAGACACGGCCCAGACUCCUACGGGAGGCAGCAGUGGGGAAUAUUGGACAAUGGGGGGAACCCUGAUCCAGCCAUGCCGCGUGUGUGAAGAAGGCCUUAUGGUUGUAAAGCACUUUAAGCGAGGAGGAGGCUCUUUUGGUUAAUACCCAAGAUGAGUGGACGUUACUCGCAGAAUAAGCACCGGCUAACUCUGUGCCAGCCGCCGCCGUAA